GCGGAUGUGGCGGAAUUGGUAGACGCGGGGGCCUGUCUUUUUGGUAUUAUAUUAUUGUGAUACCAGAAAGCCCCUGGUUAUUAUGCCGUAAGGGUUCGAAUCCCUUCAUCCGCA
rnacentral:tRNA from 1 species